rnacentral:rRNA from 1 species
CCUACGGGAGGCAGCAGUGAGGAAUAUUGGUCAAUGGGCGCGAGCCUGAACCAGCCAAGUAGCGUGAAGGAUGACUGCUCUACGGGUUGUAAACUUCUUUUAUAAAGGAAUAAAGUGAGGCACGUGUGCCGUUUUGUAUGUACUUUAUGAAUAAGGGUCGGCUAACUCCGUGCCAGCAGCCGCGGUAAUACGGAGGCUCCGAUCGUUAUCCGGAUUUAGUGGGUUUAAAGGGAGCGUAGGUGGGUUGUUAAGUCAGGUGUGAAAGUUUUCGGCUCAACCGUAAAAUUGCAAUUGAUACUGGCAGCCUUGAGUACAGUUGAGGUAGGCGGAAUUCGUGGUGUAGCGGUGAAAUGCUGAGAUAUCACGAAGAACUCCGAUUGCGAAGGCAGCUUACUAAACUGCAACUGACAUUGAUGCUCGAAAGUGUGGGUAUCAAACAGGAUUAGAUACCCUUGUAGUC